ensembl:lncRNA
GUGGGAACGUGCCUGAACAACAUCGCUGAGCAAUGCCCGGCAUAAUUGAUCAAAAAGUUGCCAAAAACGUUGCUGAACAGGCUUUCAAGAAUAGCACCACUGCAAUAUCGGAUACUUUUGACAUGAACCCAGCAGAGCCUCUCCUGUGCUUUCCAUCAUUGAGGACGUCUUCACCGCCAGAUAUGUUCCACUUCCUACUGAUCUCAGGUAUUUUUACAUUGUCCCUAUGCAUCCCAGUGCCCAAAGGCUUUGCCAGUCACUCGGACAACAUCGAGUUCUACGACGACCUUGAGAGCUCACGACUUCUGCUGAGUCCUGGGUCCGGGCCCAAUAUCGCCCCGCGGGUCGAACUGCCCCCCGAAGACACACUUCUGGGAGAAGACCCGGAGUUCUUCCCUCUGCUUUUUCAGGAGAACUCCCGCCCAGCAAAGCACUGAGGCUCACCUUAUGUUCUGUGGUUAGCGACCACACCUGAAAACUUAGUAAAACCCUUAAGCCAAUGUGAAGAGUGUUAAUCGCUAUGUAUUCAACUUUGACAACAAACAAUGAAUGAUAUAUGCUG